UUGAAUUGAAGAGUUUGAUCAUGGCUCAGAUUGAACGCUGGCGGCAGGCUUAACACAUGCAAGUCGAACGGUAGCAGGAGAAAGCUUGCUUUCUUGCUGACGAGUGGCGGACGGGUGAGUAAUGCUUGGGAAUCUGGCUUAUGGAGGGGGAUAACUACGGGAAACUGUAGCUAAUACCGCGUAGUAUCGGAAGAUGAAAGUGCGGGACCGUAAGGCCGCAUGCCAUGAGAUGAGCCCAAGUGGGAUUAGGUAGUUGGUGGGGUAAAGGCCUACCAAGCCUGCGAUCUCUAGCUGGUCUGAGAGGAUGGCCAGCCACACUGGAACUGAGACACGGUCCAGACUCCUACGGGAGGCAGCAGUGGGGAAUAUUGCGCAAUGGGGGGAACCCUGACGCAGCCAUGCCGCGUGAAUGAAGAAGGCCUUCGGGUUGUAAAGUUCUUUCGGUAUUGAGGAAGGAGUGUAUGUUAAUAGCAUACAUUAUUGACGUUAAAUACAGAAGAAGCACCGGCUAACUCCGUGCCAGCAGCCGCGGUAAUACGG
rnacentral:rRNA from 1 species